UACGUAGGGUGCAAGCGUUGUCCGGAAUUAUUGGGCGUAAAGAGCUCGUAGGCGGUUUGUUGCGUCGGCUGUGAAAUCCCGAGGCUCAACCUCGGGUCUGCAGUCGAUACGAGCAAACUAGAGUGUUGCAGGGGAGACUGGAAUUCCUGGUGUAGCGGUGAAAUGCGCAGAUAUCAGGAGGAACACCAGUGGCGAAGGCGGCUCUCUGGACCGGUUCUGACGCUCAGGCGCGAAAGCGUGGGGAGCGAUCCGG
rnacentral:rRNA from 1 species